CGGGGGUAAAAAUAAAAUGUUUCCAUCCCCAGCCAAUCCCUGGAAAGGCAGAAGGGCACUCCUCCAAUGGGAGCCGGGGAGCCGUCGGUAGCGGCGUAGGCCCGUGCCCCUGCUCGCGCUGCAGCCCGUGGAAGGGUUCCGUCCAGCGUAUCCUUCAGAUCUUGCUGUAGGCCUCUGGUGUCUGUGCGCGCGCGGCAGGGGCGGCGGCGGCGACGGCCGGAGGUGUACGGUCAGCGGGUUGCGGAGGAUCGUGCGGGUCGCAAAGGGAAGCCGAGUGCUCCUGCGGCUCCCAGACUGCAACCAGGAACUAACCUGUCAGGUACUGAGAGGCUUUGAAGAUGGCUCUUCAGGUUGGGGACACACCUUUAUUAAGGGGCAAGACUGCUGCCAGGAGUUGAUUCACAUACUCAGAGGUGUAAAUCCAAACCGCUUCCAACUCAAGGCAAGUAACAGCCCACGGUGUUCUGGCAGGAAAACAUCAGCUAAGAAAGGAAACUGGGUCCUAUGGCUUGGACUUUCCAACUCUGACAGACCGGCAGGACAGAAACAACUGGUUCAGGAGCCCUUGCCAGCCUCUAGAGAAAUCCCAGAACACUCAGCCCUGAUGACACAUUAAUACCCUGCACAUAUUGGAGACUGCUGACCACGCAUACUCACCAAGCCACAGACUUGUCUUCCACAAGCACGUUCUUACCUCAGCCACAAAGUGCCCAAGCCACAUGUACUAAAGGUUGAAAUCAGAGACAUGUACAGGGUAUUAAACAGAUACCAAGGGGAACAGUUAACUUGAAUAUAGCUUGAAUAGAAAGUCAAAAUCAGCAACAAGUCUACAAUCCAGUGCUGAUAUCAGAUACAAGCUUCAAGGACAACUUUCUGUGUAUGUUUUUUUUUUUUUUUUUGAGACGUAGUCUCGCCCUGUUGCCCAGGCUGGAGUGCAGUGGUGCAAUCUCGGCUCACCACAACCUCUGCCUCCCAGGUUCAAGUGAUUCUCCUGCCUCAGCCUCCCCAGUAGCUGGGAUUAUAGGCGAAUGCCACCAUGCCUGGCUAAUUUUUGUAUUUUUAGUAGAGACGGGGUUUCAGCAUGUUGGCCAGGCCGGUCUCAAACUCCUGACCUUGUGAUCCACCCGUCUCGGCCUCCCAAAGUGCUGGGAUUAUAGGCGUGAGCCACCACUUCUGGCCACAAAUUUCUUUUUGAAGGCUUAUUCCAGUUUUGUGAGGCUAGCAUGAGGUGUAUGCAUUUGCCAGGGGCAAAUUUAUACUGCUGAAUUAACCCAUGCAACAAAUGCUGCACAUCUGCUCGCAGUCCAUUUAGAGGCAUUUGCGGUAGACAAUGGAGGGGCCAGACUCAUCAUACAUACCUGAUGGCUAACCCACAUGCUUGCAGUCCAUUUAGAGGCAUUUGCAGUGGAUGAUGGAGGGGCCACAUACCUAAUUGCUAAUCCACAUCUGCUGGAAGGUGGACAGUGAGGCCAGGAUGGAACCACCAAUCCACACCGAGUACUUGUGCUCUGGGGGCAUGAUGAACUUGAUCUUCAUGGU
rnacentral:lncRNA from 1 species